UACGAAGGGGGCUAGCGUUGCUCGGAAUGACUGGGCGUAAAGGGCGCGUAGGCGGUUUAUACAGUCAGAUGUGAAAUUCCUGGGCUCAACCUGGGGGCUGCAUUUGAUACGUGUGGACUAGAGUGGGGAAGAGGGUCGUGGAAUUCCCAGUGUAGAGGUGAAAUUCGUAGAUAUUGGGAAGAACACCGGUGGCGAAGGCGGCGACCUGGUCCUUGACUGACGCUGAGGCGCGAAAGCGUGGGGAGCAAACAGG
rnacentral:rRNA from 1 species